rnacentral:rRNA from 1 species
AACGAACGCUGGCGGCAUGCCUAACACAUGCAAGUCGAACGAGACCUUCGGGUCUAGUGGCGCACGGGUGCGUAACGCGUGAGAAUCUGCCCCUUGCUUCGGAAUAACACCCCGAAAUUACUGCUAAUACCGGAUAAUGUCUUCGGACCAAAGAUUUAUCGCCAUGGGAUGUGCCCGCGUUGGAUUAGGUAGUUGGUGGGGUAAUGGCCUACCAAGCCGACGAUCCUUAGCUGGUCUGAGAGGAUGAUCAGCCACACUGGGACUGAGACACGGCCCAGACUCUUAGGGAAGGAGGAAGUGGGAAAAAUUGAAAAAGGGGGGAAGGCCUGAUCAGGCAAGGCGGGGUAAGGAAUGAGGGCUUUGGGGUUGAAAGGCUUUUUUACCAGGGAGGAAAUUGACGGAACCUGAGGAAAAGGCCCGGGCUAACUCGGUG